rnacentral:tRNA from 1 species
UUCCUCGUGGCCCAAUGGUCACGGCGUCUGGCUACGAACCAGAAGAUUCCAGGUUCGAGUCCUGGGCGGGGAAG